rnacentral:rRNA from 1 species
AUGAACGCUGGCGGCGCGCCUAACACAUGCAAGUCGAACGGCACCCCUCUCCGGAGGGAAGCGAGUGGCGAACGGCUGAGUAACACGUGGAGAACCUGCCCCCUCCCCCGGGAUAGCCGCCCGAAAGGACGGGUAAUACCGGAUACCCCGGGGUGCCGCAUGGCACCCCGGCUAAAGCCCCGACGGGAGGGGAUGGCUCCGCGGCCCAUCAGGUAGACGGCGGGGUGACGGCCCACCGUGCCGACAACGGGUAGCCGGGUUGAGAGACCGACCGGCCAGAUUGGGACUGAGACACGGCCCAGACUCCUACGGGAGGCAGCAGUGGGGAAUCUUGCGCAAUGGGGGGAACCCUGACGCAGCGACGCCGCGUGCGGGACGGAGGCCUUCGGGUCGUAAACCGCUUUCAGCAGGGAAGAGUCAAGACUGUACCUGCAGAAGAAGCCCCGGCUAACUACGUGCCAGCAGCCGCGGUAAUACGUAGGGGGCGAGCGUUAUCCGGAUUCAUUGGGCGUAAAGCGCGCGUAGGCGGCCCGGCAGGCCGGGGGUCGAAGCGGGGGGCUCAACCCCCCGAAGCCCCCGGAACCUCCGCGGCUUGGGUCCGGUAGGGGAGGGUGGAACACCCGGUGUAGCGGUGGAAUGCACAGAUAUCGGGUGGAACACCGGUGGCGAAGGCGGCCCUCUGGGCCGAGACCGACGCUGAGGCGCGAAAGCUGGGGGAGCGAACAGGAUUAGAUACCCUGGUAGUCCCAGCCGUAAACGAUGGACGCUAGGUGUGGGGGGACGAUCCCCCCGUGCCGCAGCCAACGCAUUAAGCGUCCCGCCUGGGGAGUACGGCCGCAAGGCUAAAACUCAAAGGAAUUGACGGGGGCCCGCACAAGCAGCGGAGCAUGUGGCUUAAUUCGAAGCAACGCGAAGAACCUUACCAGGUCUUGACAUCCUUCUGACCACUCCGUAAUGGGAGUCUUCCUUCGGGACAGAAGAGACAGGUGGUGCAUGGUUGUCGUCAGCUCGUGUCGUGAGAUGUUGGGUUAAGUCCCGCAACGAGCGCAACCCCCGCCGCGUGUUGCCAUCGGGUGAUGCCGGGAACCCACGCGGGACCGCCGCCGUCAAGGCGGAGGAGGGCGGGGACGACGUCAAGUCAUCAUGCCCCUUAUGCCCUGGGCUGCACACGUGCUACAAUGGCCGGUACAGAGGGAUGCCACCCCGCGAGGGGGAGCGGAUCCCGGAAAGCCGGCCCCAGUUCGGAUUGGGGGCUGCAACCCGCCCCCAUGAAGUCGGAGUUGCUAGUAAUCGCGGAUCAGCAUGCCGCGGUGAAUGCGUUCCCGGGCCUUGUACACACCGCCCGUCACACCACCCGAGUCGUCUGCACCCGAAGUCGCCGGCCCAACCGUCAAGGGGGGAGGCGCCGAAGGUGUGGAGGGUGAGGGGGGUG